GCAGGAAGAUGUGCAAGCCCCGCGCGGUGGAGGCGGCGGCAGCGGCGGUGGCGGCGACGGCCCCGGGCCCGGAGAUGGUGGAGCGGAGGGGCCCGGGGAGGCCCCGCAGCGACGGGGAGAACGUGUUUGCUGGGCAGUCAAAGAUCUAUGCCUACAUGAGUCCGAACAAAUGCUCUGGAAUGCGUUCUCCACUGCAGGAAGAGAACUCCGUCGCACAUCAUGAGGUCAAAUGCCCGGGGAAACCAUUGGCCGGAAUCUACAGGAAGCGAGAAGAGAAAAGAAACGCUGGGAAUGUUAUCCGAAGCGCUGUGAAGUCAGAAGAACAGAAGAGCAAAGAUACCAGGAGAGGUCCCCUGGCGCCUUUUCCAAACCAAAAACCUGAAGCAACAGAACCUCCAAAAACUCCACCCCCGUCAUGUGAUUCUACCAGUGUAGCGGUUGCUAAGCAAGCCCUGAAAAAGCCCCUCAAGGGCAAGCAGGCCCCUCGGAAGAAGUCUCAAGGGAAGACACAGCAGAAUAGAAAACUCACAGAUUUCUACCCCGUGCGAAGGAGCUCCAGGAAGAGCAAAGCUGAGCUGCAGGAGCUUCUCCUGUCUUCAGCUGAGAAGUUCCGCUGAGAACGCUAGCUCGGAAGUGCUCACUGCUAGUGGUUGACUGCACUCUCCUGUCUGUAAAGUGGUCUGGUAAAGUCCAGGGAUGGAGACACACCUAUAAUCCUAGUAUUCAGGACGGAGUUGAGAGAACUGAUGGAUGUUCUGAUGAGAGUGGUCUGGUCUGAAUAGCAAGUUCCAGUCCAGACAGGGCCACAUAGCAAGACCCAGCCUCAAAAAAGAAAAGAGACGGUAGCGAGUUGUUACAAAGAUGAAAGAUGGGGAUCCACACACAUGCAGUGGCGAAUCGCACACAGGAGAGUGAGGGCAGAGCUCCAGUUCGAGGUCCUCCUUGGCUGCAUAAUAAAACCCUGUCUGAAAGCAAAACGCACUAAUAAAAUGGCCGCCUGGGGCUAGAGGCACAGCUUAUUAGAGUCCUGGCUUGUCAUGUUCCAGAGGGCCACAGCUUCCAUCCCUAGCCCUGCAUAAACUGGAGACGGUGGGUCUUGUCUACAAUCCCAGGACAGGGGUAGACACAGAAAGGCCAAGUGGGAGGAGGUGCUACAUGCCUCUGAUUCCAGUACUUGGGAGGCAGAGGCCAACCUCGUCUACAGAGUGAGUUCCAGGACGGCCAGAGCUGCACAGAGAAACCCUGUCUCGGGGGAAAGAGUUAAGGCUGCGUUACAUAGAGAAUUUGAGGCCAGUCUGAACUAGAUGAGAUAUUCUCAUAAAAGACUUUGUUCUGUAAUGGUGUAGGAGUGCAAAUGGCAGCGAGCUGAGACUGUCACCCUCCCUUGCUUCCCAGUAUAGUCCGUUCCCGUCUGCGUCUGCCUAUUUCUGGCUAAAUGUGAAGUGGCUUAUAGGGAGGAAGGUAGCCAGUCUGGGCAGCCCCACGCCCAUGUAUGCGGUACCCAGUGGGCAGCCUUAUCAACAUUGGUGCAGUGGGGUGUGGUUAUUCUCUCUGUUCUGAAUCCCACUUGGAUGCCCAGGGCGUCAGGGUCAACACCUCACUCUCCUUUAAGACUUUGACUCUGAAGGCUUCAGAUCACCUCAGAGCAGGGGAGAGGGGAUUGAUUUGGGCAGCCUGGGUGUUCUGUAUGCUGCUGAGGUCCCCUCAGUAUCCGAGAUGGCAGAUCUGCAUGCAGAGCUUCAGGUUAGUGCAGCUUUAUCCAGAUCAAGCCCAAGGGAGGGGGGCUGCUUCCCUCCCUCCCCACCUGCCCACCCCACUAGCUUUCACUUCAUUUCUUGUGAAAGGCAGUGCCUUGGCCAAGAAUGAGCUGUUAGAAAUGCCUGCCAGCAGUGGGACGGUGUGCUGGGUCACUCUCAAAGGCUGCAUUGCAGAGCAGAGGUGGUGCCUGCCCACAGAACCCAGAGCUCCUCCCAGCCAGGCAGGCGGCAUGGCAGGCCCCACACGGGCAAGUGCUGCUGGGUGGGAGUACCUAAGUCAGUGGUGCUAAAGAAAAGCCAGGCUCUUGUGCCUGGAGAGCGGAGGCCGGAAGGCUGCAGAGCUGCAGGGGGACUGCAGAGCUCACCUGCUCACUGCAGCUGAUAAGCAGGCAAGGAUAGCACACCCUGUUUCCAGAUAGAUAGAGCAGGAAGCAGCACCAGCAGGCAGGCACCAUGCUGUGCCCCUCUGUUUGUCUUGGCUCUGCUGAAAGAGCACUGUUCCCCUGUCGCUGGCAUGGCAGGGAAGUGACAGCUGCCCGUGGCGCCAUGGAUGUGACUGUUGCUGGCAGAGUUUGUAUUCUGUUGACUGCAGAGAAAGCUGGAGGGCAUGGCAGUGAGGUCUGUCAGGGACUGAAGUUCCGCCUGCUCACCUAACUAGGUUAGUCUAGGGGCUGAGUAAGUGGACUGAGAAGCUGUACUUGACCAGUGGCCAAGAGUGAAAUCAAAGUACCAAGUGGUGGGACACCUUGUGGGGCUUAAGAAAAGCUGCUGGGGCAGAACCAGGUCCAGAGUUCAGAGCCGGAGGGAGCUAUUUAAGCACAGGGCAAGCAAGCCAUAGGGAAAUGCCCCCAGCCUUGUGGCUGCCUGGCUGGCCUGCUCCUCUGUGGGGGGCAACUGUACUGCAGCAGAGGCAGCUCCCUGGCUGCCUCCUCUCUGAUACUCCCUGGGGACUGCAAGGAGCCAUCUGUCCUUCCUGUCCAUCUUCCCUCAGACCUUGCCUACGCUGAGAAGACCCCUAGGUAGUGCUGGAGUGCAGCGGUAGAGCCCUUGUCUCACAUGCAUGAGGAUGCAGGUGUAGUCACCAGUACUGUCAGGAGGACGAAACCUAACUCUGCCUCCUUUGGAUGGUUGGUGAGAUGGAGUAGUUUGGUUCCGUGGUGAGCCCAAGGCUCCUUAACUCCAGAGCAGAGGAAAUAAGCAGGCACAUGGAUCAGGGAAAAGGUCACACUAGGCAGGAAGGACAGCUGCUCCGUAGCCUAGAGGCUGGAGACCGGGCCUUCUGGAAGAGCCUGUUGUGUGGGGGAUGGGUGGAGGGGAGACAUUGACGCCUGUACCUUACAGAAUCUAUCCACAUAAGGAAAAGUCCUGCACAGUGACACACGCCUUUAAUCUCAGCACUCAGGACGUAGAGGUGGACAGAUCUCUAAGUUUAAUUCCAAACUCUCAAAAUAGAAAAGUUUAAUGAGUGGACGGGUAACUCACAUUCUGGGUGAGGUUAUGUCUUGUUUUAAUCUCAUUAAGUUCCAGGCCAGCCUUGACACAUAGUAAAAGCCUAGUUAUUUAUUUAUUUUUUAAUUUUUUUUUUUUUCGGAGCUGGGGACCGAACCCAGGGCCUUGCGCUUCCUAGGCAAGCGCUCUACCACUGAGCUAAAUCCCCAACCCCUAUUUUUUAAUUUUUAUUAGUGUUUGUUUUCCAAACAGUGUCUCUAUGUAGCCCCAGCUGCCCCAGGCUUAUAGUUCUGAAAGCUUAUAGUUCUAAGAGUUCUUAUAGUUCUAAAAGAGCUGGGUGUGGUGGUGCCUUUCAAAGUAACAAUAAUAACAAUCUUUUCAGAACAUUCCUGUGGCAAUAGGUAAAGAACUGGGUAUUGUAGUGGAAGCCCUGAGACUCCGGAGAUGGCUGUCAGAUAAUGGCUUGAGGGAGGACAGUAGGGGCUGAGGAGAAGGUGACUAGAUCUCAGACUGUCCUGAGGUCACCCGUUCACACUCCCUCAGCACUGUCUCCAUCACACAUCCCAGGGCCUGUUCCAGGGUAGGUGUGGACUGAAUGACUGGCUAGCUAUGUCCUGGUCCCAGGCUCUGCCUAUAAGGUCUAGCAAGGGUGUGAGUUCCACAGGUGGCAAGACCUCCACGGAUGGCAUCAGCCUCGAGGAAGGCCCUCCGUGCUAGUGAGCCAGAGCUGUGGGCACCUGGUGUCUGUAGCCCCUCUUGUUCCCUAGCAUCUUGUGUAAUGAGAGGGCACAGUGAGACGGAGUAGCAGCAGGAGAGAACCUGUGGUGGUUCCCUAGCUCCUCUGUUCCUUGCUGUGUUGUUCUGCUGGUUAGGAGCACAGGCAUAGCUCAGAGAGCUGGCAUAGACCUCCAGGGGGAGUAUCGGUUAGCUUAGCCAGGAGGGACAAGGAGCAGGUAUGUCCUGCCUGUGAUCUGCUCUGCUCAGUUCAUCCAUUUAUUUGCUUGGUGGUGCUGGGCAUUAAAGCCAUAUAUAUGCUGAGCAAACAUUGAUUCUUUUUUUUUUUUUUUUUUUUUGGUUCUUUUUUUUUUGGAGCUGGGGAUCAAACCCAGGGCCUUGCGCUUCCUAGGCAAGCGCUCUACCACUGAGCUAAAUCCCCAACCCCACAUUGAUCCUUUUUUGCCUCCUUUUCUAUUUUCCUUUUUAUUUUGAGACAGGCUUUCACCAGAUUGCCCUACGCCGGCCCACAUCUCACUUUGUAACUCAUAUUGGCCUCAAAUGUCUGAAAACUGUGCCUCAGGCUCUUGAGCAGCUAGGAUGGCAGGCGUAGGCCACCAUGCGCAUAGUGAGGGAUGGUCACUUCGUAAGGAGUCAGCCUCCAGGUCUUACGUUUACUUGUAGCAGGGGCAUUCGUGAGCUGUGGUUUGUGUAUGGUGAUCAGAGAGAUUGUACAUUGUUCUAGGGAUCAAAUUCAGAUGGUCAGGAUGGCCAGCAGUUGAAGUGCCUUUGCACAGUGAGCCUUCUCGACAGCCCUAGAGUCCUGUUUCUUAGAUCCUGGUGAAUUAAAAACCAUUUUUUUAAAGUACUCUACAGGAUAAACUUCAUGUUUAAGCCUCUGCAACAAAUGCCCGAGACAGUAAAGGUUCAUCUCUGUUACUGUGGCAGAGACUUGAGGCUGUUAGUUGACGCCUGUUGCUUCGGACAUCAUGGGGGAGCAUGUGGGACAAGAGUGCUCUCCUGACUGCUGAAAGUGAGAGACUAGGCCGGAGUCUCACUGUCCCACGCAGAGCAGAUUCCCAGGGACCCUGGUAGGACCCACCUCUUAGUGGAUUGAAUGUUUCCAAUGCUUACCAUAGUGUGGGCCGGCCAGUUCUUCACAGGGACCCUUGGGAAACACUGAAGAUCCAGACGACUUAGGUAUGCUGAUGCCCAUUCAUAACCCACACUUCCCAGGCUAGGGCAGGAAGAACGUGAGUCAAGGCCAGCCUGGGCUUACAGUCUGAAUUCCCUGACUCAGAACCAACCAACCAAACACACACCAAAGACUGAAAAUACAACAGGCCAGAACUGUGUGCCUCUUGUCCAGGCAAGGCUGGGUGAUGGCUGCUCAUGGCAGAUGGUCGAGGAGAGGUUGCUGAGGGCAGCACAGGUUGGCUGUGGCGUGGCAUGUGAACACUAACACUGUUCUUAACUCCACACAGUCUGAAGAAAGGAAGAAGAUAGAUGAGCUAAUUGAGAGCGGGAAGGAAGAGGGCAUGAAGAUUGAUCUAAUCGAUGGCAAAGGCAGGGGUGUGAUUGCUACCAAGCGAUUCUCCCGGGGAGACUUUGUGGUAGAAUACCAUGGAGACCUC